UUCAUUCAGUUUUAUGCCAGUUCUGAUGAGCACCAAGAGGAAUGGGCCUGCAGAGAAGAUGAUGGCAAAGCUGGACCUCACUCUCCUCUGCUCCAGUCCAUUAUCAUGGGAGGCCAAGGUGCCCAUGUUGUUGCUGCUGCAAGUGCAUGCAGCCAGCUUCUUCUUCACUUGGAUAGUCAACUCCUGCAAGUCCUUCAACUUGACCAUGACAGUCCAGGACUGGCAAGAGCAAAGACUUUGCAAAUGUAUGAUAGAGUAGGAACAAACAAGAGACUGGAUAAGCUAUCUGGGAGGAGCACCGUUUCUUCUCCUGACACAGGUCUUCUCCAACCGUAUCAACAUUUGGCCUCGGCCGAUCAGGGCCGUCCCCCCGGUCUCCGAUGGUCCAGAUCGUCAGAACCCGCCGUGGCGAUGGUCCCACGAACAGAUUGAGCUGGAAAGAAGCAGGUAGCCGGCUAGCAGCAGUGCCCUUACGGCCAGGGCACAGGGAGAUGGGAUGAUUGAUCCAUCCAACGGACAGAUCGUACGCCGGCCGGUCAGCCAACCAGCCAGCCAUCCAUUUGUCACAGGUCGCAUUGCGGCUUAAUUGGAACCAGAGAGAGAGAGAGACAGGGACAGAGAGAUGCAUGAGAUGGCCCUCACAUGCAUGAUGCAUUGCAUGCUGGCUAGAGACAUGAGAAUGUGAGGCGAAAUAAUGCAUAUGGGCUUGGAGUUUUGGACAAUGCUCCAGCAGGGCCACUGUGCUGGAGAAUCGUUUGCUUCUGCGUGCAGGACAUUGACCAUGCUAUAGUCCCCAGUUAUAUUAGUCUAUGACGCCACUGUAGCAGACUCUCAUAUGAGCCUACCUGUGUUUGCAAUUGAUUUCCUGUGAUGACGACAAGAGCUGAUCAACCGAAAGAGCAACAACAACAACUGACCAGUGUACGUAGAUUCCCCUGUUUGCAUGAAGCUGGUUCCUCCAAAUUAUCAGUUUCAAUCCUCAAUGACAAGCAGCGGUGAUGAAGAAACACUGGGAGAAAACAUGCAUGUGGAGCGAGCACGUGCUGUGGUGGGGAGCCCCACUCACGUGCCGCUGGCCAUUGCUUGCUUGCUUGCAUAAUUUACCUUCAACUCUGAGUGCUCCAACACAUGACUAGGCGCAAAGCAACCUAGCUAGCUAUCUAUCUGCCCAGGAAUUGGAUCUGAAUUUAAGGUGAUGUGAUGCUAUACAAAAUGACGCGUGCGUGCUUGAGAAAACAGAAGGAAAAAAAACAAUGAGUUGCUCUGUUUUUUUAGCAGUUUAGGUAACUGUAACUCUAUAAGGUUUCUUGAUCAAA